GUCCUUUUGUAUUUAUUUAAGGUCUAGUCUGCCCACUGAAUUUAAAUUUUAAAUGGCCGCAGUAUUUUGACUGUGCAAAGGUAGCAUAAUCAUUAGUUUUUUAAUUAAAAGCUUGUAUGAAAGGCUGGACGAGGUAAAAUCUGUCUCUAUUUAAAUUAUAAUAGAAUUUAACUUUUAAGUUAAAAGGCUUAAAUAUUAUUAAAAGACGAGAAGACCCUAUAGAUCUUUAUAAUUUAUUAAUUAAAAUUAAUUUAGAAUUAUUUAUAUUUUAUUUAACUAAAUUAUUUUAUUGGGGUAAUAUAAAGAUUGAAUUAAUUCUUUUUUAUAAUAAACAUUAAUUUAUGAAUAUUAGAUGAUCCAGUUUUACUGAUUAUAAGAUUAAGUUACCUUAGGGAUAACAGCGUAAUUUUUUUAGAGAGUUCAUAUCGAUAAAAAAGUUUGCGACCUCGAUGUUGGAUUAAAGAUUAUUUUAGGUGUAGAAGCUUAAUAAUUUUGGUCUGUUCGACCAUUAAAUCUUUAC
rnacentral:rRNA from 1 species